AUUGAACGCUGGCGGCAUGCCUUACACAUGCAAGUCGAACGGUAACAGGUCUUCGGAUGCUGACGAGUGGCGAACGGGUGAGUAAUACAUCGGAACGUGCCCGAUCGUGGGGGAUAACGAGGCGAAAGCUUUGCUAAUACCGCAUACGAUCUACGGAUGAAAGCGGGGGAUCUUCGGACCUCGCGCGGACGGAGCGGCCGAUGGCAGAUUAGGUAGUUGGUGGGAUAAAAGCUUACCAAGCCGACGAUCUGUAGCUGGUCUGAGAGGAUGAUCAGCCACACUGGGACUGAGACACGGCCCAGACUCCUACGGGAGGCAGCAGUGGGGAAUUUUGGACAAUGGGCGAAAGCCUGAUCCAGCCAUGCCGCGUGCAGGAUGAAGGCCUUCGGGUUGUAAACUGCUUUUGUACGGAACGAAAAGCCUCUUUCUAAUAAAGAGGGGUCAUGACGGUACCGUAAGAAUGAGCACCGGCUAACUACGUG
rnacentral:rRNA from 1 species